rnacentral:lncRNA from 1 species
UGCCUCCUAAUUUUAGUUUCUUUGAAGUCUGCAUUCUGUUCCAAUAUAUCAGCCUUGUAUUAAACACCAAAACAGGAAAAGAAAGAAACCCCUAUAUCAAAUACACAGAAGAGAUAAACAAGGUGUUAAUUUUUUCAAAUAUUAUUUCUAGAGUUUUGCAUACUACCUGCACACGCUCCACAGCAGGGAGGGGCGUUAAGAAGAGGUAAGCCUGGAGCACAGUGAAAUGUGACCUUGCCACAACCCCAUCAAAGGUCUGUUUGAUUGAUUUUUCUUCCCUGCAAACGAUCGGAAAGUAGCAGUGACAGAACAAGUCCUUAAAAUUCGACAAUCACUAGGGCAUACUUCAUUUCAUCACACAAAUAGGGAGUUGAAAGGUCGCCACUAGUUCUAUGGGUUUCCUCAGCAAGACAGACUCUUUAACACCCAAGUUUUGAAAGUAUGAACUACAGUAUUCCACAGAUGAUUGUGCCUGGUGUUUAAAAGGCCCCUGCAGAGGUCUAGUCAAAAUAUUUACAUUCCUCUCUGAAACUGUAAUGCAAAGGAAAAGGGAAAAAUCGUGAGAGGACAAAUCAAAAGAAAAACUUUCCUUCCCCGGCAACAAGAAAAGGUGUCAGGCCGCUGGGUCUUCUGCAGACAGCCCUGUUCUCUUGGUGUAGAUCAGGUGCCCAUCACACACUUUUCCAACGGACGUACAUCUAUAGCAAGGUGCAUUAGCUGCAUUCCGUGUCAAAAUUAGGGCUGUAUCCAUUUCUGAACACAUGUGGUUAACAGAAAGCCUCAUCAUCCCGCCGUAAGUGGGUGUGUUUAAUUGUCCAUGCGUGUUCCCCGAGGCGCUCCAUGGACGCUGCAAAUAGAUGGGCUCCGUCUUUGCAGGGAUUCAAAGCCUUCGCGGUGUUUAAUUUGGUGGCAGGCUCCAGUAGGCUAAGACCAGAAGUUCUGGAGCUUGGGGUUGAUGCUCUUGUUCUGGGAGUGUUUGUGGUGACAUAUUGGGGCCUCGACAGCAAGGUUGGCCUCUGUCCCACAAGGACGAGGACUAGGAUGCGGGGUCCGAGCACCAAGUAGCCAAGCUGAGGAGCGGAGGGAGACGGCUGCACCCAGAGGAAGCCCUCCCUGGCCUGCAGGAGACUGGACCUCCCUAGCCAGCGGCUGCCUCGCGCCUUGGGCCGCGCCAGGAGGCUGCCCUGCCUGCCUGGAAAGGGCCCUCCCAGCUUCCUGCGGCCUCUAGCUCCCCGGCCCCGCAAGGACCAGGCCCUAUUUUGCUCCCUACUCGCCCUCCUAGGCCAGCUUUCCACCCAGCAGCCUCAGACCCGGGGACGCUCGCUUCCCGCCCAAACUUUCCUUUCCAGCUGGACUUUGCGGGGAGGCUGGGACCUGAGUUCAGAGAGGCCCUGCAAGUCUAGAUUCUGCUUUAGGAUAGGGGUUAGCUUUAAAACCAAAAAGCCAGCCUCCUUUGGGGUGAAGAUGGUUGCAGAGUUUACAGUCCCUCCACACUCUUCAAACCUCACCCACAGCAGUCCCCAGUCACAGUCACAACACCUAGACUUCCCCAGAAAUCUCAUGGCUUCCCCUAACUUGCAGCCUCACAGGGUGACUCCAGCGCUUUGCUCCUCUGAAAAUCUCACUUGCUCUAGGUGAAUGGCCUCAGGUUAUCAAGGACCCACUGGCAAACUCGUUCCUACCCAUGGGUCAAGGAAGAGCCCUGGGAACUGUACCAGAAACAAAGUCUGAGGAGGGAAAAGCAGCUCUUCCUAGGUAGGACACAGGACCGGUUCCUUGGCGGCACUGGGCCGGUGAGUCAGAGAAGGAGUUGAGAGCUCAGGAGCAGCCUCAGGCCACACCAGGUUUCAGUGGCCUAGGCCUGCCCACAGGAUGUGGCCAUUGUUGAUAUGUUGUGUCCAGCAGCUCAGAUUUUCCUAUGAGGGCAAGACAUUGGAGCGCAAAAGGGGGAGCCUCUGCCCUCUAUCUCUUACUCCUUACAUAGGACUCCAGGAGACAGAGCAGGACUUGUCCUUCCAGACCUGGGCCCAGGCCUCGCCCAGCCUCUCCCUUGAUCUGGGAGCUUUGCUUCCAUGAAGAAAGGGUGCUGGACCUGUGAACUGGGGCUCCUAGCAAAAGAAGCAGCUGCACUUAGCCUAUCACACUCUCACCCACCUUACGGAGCCCCGGGCCUACAGGCUGGCCAUGCAAACCUGGGUGCCCUCCGGCUUGCCAGAAUGGGAGAACAGAGCCAGAGAGGCCUGGAUGCCCAAGCCCGGAUGCCCAAACCCUUGGCACUGGGGGGGGGGGUCCCUGCACCCCACGCGUGUUUACGUCAGUGCCCCCUUAUCUUAUAUGUAACAGCAAUAUAUAUGUUAAUUGAAAACUUCUGAAUUUAAAAAGGUUGUGACAAGUUAUAAUUUGUCCUGUCAAUGCCUGGAAUCCUUAUUUAUCUCUUUAGCUUGCCUCCCGCUCGCGCCUGUCAGCUAACAGCUUGCCUAACUCGUUGACUUCCUCACUCAUGGCACGGAAAUGACAAAUGUGCUGUUUUAUCCGUACAAUUUAUUUCAUUAUUGUUGCCAGCACGAAGCAUCACAAUCAAUCAUAAGGAAGUCCAGUUGGCAGGUGUCAAUCUUGGUGUGUUUUUGUACGUCUCAGUCUAUAUUUAAUCCAAUUAUAAGGGUCACGGAGUAAGUGCCAAUCCUCUUGUUACAACUCACAUCUUAUUUAAGAUUUAAAGUAAAAAAGUCAACUCGAUCACAUGGACCUUUUGGGGGAAGGGAGGGGACUCAGUUGAAACCCCCUCAUCUCCCUCUCUCAGCCUUCCCCUGGCCUCCAAUUUAAAUUAUGCAGCAAUCCUUUUUUAUUAAAGGGUUGCAGGGAAUCCGAGUUUUAUGAGCAUUUGUGUGCAAAUGAAGGCUCUCCUUAUUUUGCUAAAGUAGAAGCAAGCUUAAUGAUGAGAGAUCUUUCCGCUCAUUGCCCAUUCAAAUACAAUUGUAGAUCGAAGCCGGCCUUGUCACGUUGAGAAAAAGUGAAUUUCUAACAUCCAGGACGUGCCUGUCUACUUUCAGUGAAUUGCAUCCAAUCACCCCCAGGGAAUUCAGCUA